ACAUCUUCUUGCCUAACUCGCC
rnacentral:miRNA from 1 species